GAUGAACGCUGGCGGCGUGCCUAAUACAUGCAAGUCGAGCGAACAGAUAAGGAGCUUGCUCCUUUGACGUUAGCGGCGGACGGGUGAGUAACACGUGGGUAACCUACCUAUAAGACUGGGAUAACUUCGGGAAACCGGAGCUAAUACCGGAUAACAUUUGGAACCGCAUGGUUCUAAAGUGAAAGAUGGUUUUGCUAUCACUUAUAGAUGGACCCGCGCCGUAUUAGCUAGUUGGUAAGGUAACGGCUUACCAAGGCAACGAUACGUAGCCGACCUGAGAGGGUGAUCGGCCACACUGGGACUGAGACACGGUCCAGACUCCUACGGGAGGCAGCAGUAGGGAAUCUUCCGCAAAGGGCGAAAGCCUGACGGAGCAACGCCGCGUGAGUGAUGAAGGGUUUCGGCUCGUAAAACUCUGUUAUUAGGGAAGAACAAAUGUGUAAGUAACUGUGCACGUCUUGACGGUACCUAAUCAGAAAGCCACGGCUAACUACGUG
rnacentral:rRNA from 1 species